CUAAAGCUUCAUAUUUCACGACUUCGACCGAGAUUCAACAGACCAUACAUACUCGGCAGAUUGUGCUCAAUCAAGACAAAGCAAACAUGGCUCACAAUUUUGAACUGCUGUGCCGUCUUGCAAGAGAGUGAGAUUCAGCAACACAUAGAAAGACCACAGCAUGGAUUAAGAGACAGGAAGAAUCCAUUUGAAUACUACGAGGAUGAACCUCUCAGAGUGGGGUACCAACAGAGAGAACCACACAUUGCCUGUCAUGUUACAGGUUUUGACAGGACUUUGUUUUAUGUCAUUGGUACCUUUUAGAAGAUGCAAGCAGACGAAGCAACUAUAUCACAGUCAUCCGUGUGCAGAAUCAUCAAAGAUUUUUCUGAGGCAAUAGCAAGGAGUAACAGUCAAUGAAGUUUCCGAUGACGAGAAAUUCAAACCACCCAGCGACAAUUUGAUGAUUGCUACAGGUUUCCAAGAGUCAUAGGUGCUAUCGAUUGGGGCCAAUCCAGGCCAUGUCUGCAUCAGGAGUCCUGAUGGGGAACAAGCCCUGUACUUAGCAGGAAGAACAGGUCUUCUGUAAAUGU